UGUAAGUCUCGUUUGGUUUCACUUUCGGUUUUACUACUUCCGGGUACAACAACGUGUGGAAUAUAUACAGUCGUAACAGAGAGUCGGUGCUAAUAUGUAAUUUGGUGUAUUGUUAAGCGAUUGGCUGCAUACAUGAGACUGGGAAAACUCUGCCAUGUAGUUUAUUUAAGUUCCUAGUCGAUGCUACAGUAAGGAAGCGGUGGAUACAAAGAUGUAGAUACAAAGUUACGAAACCUGCUGAAGCAGAAUCAUUUGCUUCAAACGUACAUGUAGGAACCGAAGUUGAUCCUGCUACCAAUAUAUCUGUACCAGACAACAAUGAUACAGCAUCAAACCCUCAACAUUUAAAAAGCUUCCCUUGAAGACUAGGAUGUUGUAAACUUGCAGUGAGAAAUAUACCUGCAUAAUUAAAGGAAACCAUCCAUGACAAUUGGGAACAUCAUAUUUAUAUAAAUAUAAAGCCUUUUAUAUUCAUAUGAAGCCUUUUGGAACGUCUCCAUCAGAAUGAAAUAUUCUCGAGAGGGACGUUAAACAAUUUACAAUCAAACAUAAAGCCUUUUGUUCUCCUGAAGGUUUUCAAAUCUGCAUUAUUAAAAAAGAAGUAAAAUCCAUUGUUUUUAGUGAAUGCAUGUAAUUCAAUGAUUUUCGUAAAGCUGGACACUAUGUCUAUACAAAUUUUGGUUCAUCUAAAAUAAGAAAAACUCUGUCUAUAAUGUUUAUUCAAUAAAUAUACUUGUAAUUACAUAACUUUGAUAGAUGCACCACUGAUAUCAUAAUAAAGUAUAUGUACAUGU